rnacentral:lncRNA from 1 species
GGCGAGCUCGCAGAGGCAGCGGCGGCGGCGGCGGAGACGGAGAGAGGCAGGCAGGCAGGGCGAGGGCGAGAGACGGAGGGAGGGAGCGAGCGAGGCAGACCAGACAGACAGACAGGCGGGCGGGCGGGCGGGCAGAGAGAGCCACCCGCCAGGCUGCGCUCAGCCCCGCUAGCAGCGGAGAGAGCAGAAGGCAGGAGGAGGGAGGGGAGGAGGGAGGAGGGAGGGAGAGAGGGAAUCCAGCUACCACCACCCAAAGCCAGCGUCUGCUUUCUGUCCUCAUUUCCUUUUCCCACCCAGCUCGGAGAGCAGAGAAAGGCUGAGAGAGCGAGAAAUAGAGACAGGCAGACAGACAGACAGACAGCCAGAGAAAGCGGGAGGGAGGAGGGCGGAGGAGGAGGAGCAGGAGCAGGAGCAGGAGCAGGAGGACUACGCGGGGCGCGUUCCCUCCCAGCCGGGCGCCCGCGUCGCUGCCGCCGCCGGAAGACAGACGCCCCCCAAACCCCUAGCCUGGCUCGGACCCACAGAGCCAGCAGCCCAGCACUCCGAUGGGAGCUUGCCUGA